AACCUUUACUUCAUUCACAGGUAAAGCCAGCCGAGGUGUAACUGCUGAUUGUAAUGUCCUCUGCUGUAGAAUGGUAGGACACGGGUGGUGGUGGUGGCUGUGACUCCAAGACAGUUCUAAACUUGAUGGUAAAGCCAGCUGAGGUGUAACUGCUGAUUGUAAUUUCAUCUGCUGUAGAAUGGUAGGACACAGGUGGUGGUGGUGGCUGCGACUCCAAGACAGUUCCAAGCUUGAUGGCAAGGAAAGCUAGUUUGUGGAUGAACUGAACAAAUUGUUUGGAGUUUCUGAUGACAUUUGUGGUGAAGUUUGAAGGAUUCUGGAAGAUGGCAGCAAUGCCAGAGGACAUUUCCAUGAUGAAGUGGACAUCAGCUAGAACUUGAUCAUCAUUCUUGCUCAAAUUCAGGAGACUGAUGCAAAUUCAUGGAAUGCAGAGUAAAUUGGCAGUAAUGGCAAGGGAUGACGACAUCAACCAUCAAUUCAAAAGAGCAUCUUGAAAGUGGUUGGCAAGCAGUGGCAGCAGGG